rnacentral:rRNA from 1 species
UAGGGGUGAAAGGCCAAUCAAACUCCGUGAUAGCUGGUUCUCCCCGAAAUGCAUUUAGGUGCAGCGUCACGUGUUUCUUGCCGGAGGUAGAGCUACUGGAUGGCCGAUGGGCCCUCACAGGUUACUGACGUCAGCCAAACUCCGAAUGCCGGUAAGUGAGAACGUGGCAGUGAGACUGCGGGGGAUAAGCUUCGUAGUCGAGAGGGAAACAGCCCAGAUCGCCGGCUAAGGCCCCUAAGCGUGUACUAAGU